GUUAGUCAAGAGGGGAGGUGGUGAGAGCCUGGAGGAGUAUUUUUGGUUAUGAAUGAGAAUAAAACCCUAUGUCUUAAAUGUAAUGCAAAAAGAGGCAGUCAGAAUUUCUCAGAGAUUAAGCUAAAGGAUAUGUUAAGGCUAUGGAUCUGAGGAGCCAGAGAAGAGGCAGGACAAUGGUAUUUCCAUAGUGACGGAGAAAAGGAAAAAAUGUCAGAGAGAAAGAUGAAGAGUCCUACUCUGACCAUGCCACUUUUAAGCAGAUGGCUGAAACAUGGAGCAGGGAGAAGCCAAAAAAACAUCUCAAGAUAUUCAUAACGGAAAGUGACAAGGGGAACAAUUUGUUCAUAAAUGAAAAAUUUGCUGCUCCUGCUGUGAGUGAGUUUCUUGAAAGAUAUUUAUGCAUAAAGUAAAUUCUUUCCUGUCUGGUCUGAAUGAAAAUAUCUUGCAGUUUCUCCUGACUUUUUCAGAAGUAUUUUGAUCUUAAUAUUUCAUGUACAACAGAAGUUUCGCAACUAUCAAGCAGGUGAAUUUGCUUUGAUGAAAUCAAAUCUUUUGUUAUGAGAUAUGGAAAUACUCUGCUGCCGUUGUGAAAAAUAUAAAGACACUUAGAGUUAGAGCAGGAAUAAAAUCUGCAAAAGAUCUGAAGAGAGCAUUACAUCCUUGCAUAACAGAAUUUUAUUUGGAAAUACUGAUUGCAAUAUUGAAAGGUCCUAAUCUUGAAUAUGGACAACAAAUGUGUCAGUAGUAAUUUGCACUGAAUUCCUAAUUAUUAAGAAAUCAUGUAUAUGUGGUUUUCCACAAAUUGCGUAUUUUGCACACACGUUUUCCUUUGUGGAACUACUGCAUGUUUAUCCCUGUGCUGUUUACAACCGAUCAGAAAUGCUGCUUCCUGAAGGAAGGUGUGGCCCAUGAAAGGUCCCAUGCUGCAGCAGGCACCAGCAGGAGGAGGAAAAUUGGAGAGAGACCAUUGGAAACUGAUCACCAACCCCAUUCCGCACACCUGUGUCCCACUGAGGAGAUGGAAGAGUCAGGAGUGAAGGAGCUUUUCCUUCUUUUCCUCUCCCAGUGUCCUGUUGAGGAGGGAGAGAGGGUAAGCAGCUGGAUGGGUAUUUGGCUGCUGUAUAAAUUUAGCCCACUACAUCUAAACAUGUAUUAUGCAGAAUUUGUUUGAAUUGACCUCUAUUUACUUUAUUUUUCCUGCUUAGGUGUUGAAGCUCAAAGCAUUACUUUUUGGCAAAGCUGAAUUGAGAAUGUAUUUCUCUCCUCUGUGUCUAGCUAUCAUUCUGAGAAGAACUUAUCACUUAAAUAUCAAUUAAGAUAUAGGAAUAGAAAACAGAAGGAACACUAAAAAAGAUAAGUCUUGUCUCCAAAUCUGGAGAGGCAUACUGUAGGCUUAAUAGAAUAAUGAUGUAGCUGUAAACAGGUGAUCAUGUAGGUCAAAUUAAUCUCUGAGCUACAUGAGUUUUAAUGAGAGAAGUCUGCUUUCCCCAGUGCUCAGCUCUCUGAAGAACCUGCACUAGCUCACAAUUGCUGUUUGUUGGCUUUGCUGGUUGGCAAAGCACCGCGGUCAGUGCCUGAAUGGACACUCUCCAUAUGAGCAUCAUGGCACAUCAACCAUAUCUGUGGGAGUUUGUUUUCCUGGGGCUUGAGAAGAGCUGAGACCUCACCUUUCACUGCAGGCAAUAUUUGUUGGAAUGCAAUUCUUUGCAUAGUCUUGCACUACUAUCUGCAUGAAAUGGAUCCUCAUUUCUGCUUUCUCAGUGUCUUCAGAAGUGUUUGAUGGAUCCCUCUCCUGCAGCUCAUGGCAGAAACAACUUCACAUACCUCGGAAGUUUUGCCUGAACAGCUCAUCAGCUAUGCUGAAUUCAUCAGGGAGUAUGGAACAACCUGUGUGCAUGCAUAGAGAGAAGUAGUGCUGAAAACUGUUUGUCUGAGUGAAUAAUCUGGAGUUUUCCCUUUGGCUGGUUCUAGCCUGGUCCUGUGGAUGGAAGACAUUAGAUGUUCUCCCAGAGGGCAUCCUGGGGCUGCUUUCAGCAGCACGCGCCCUGCUGCUGUGCGUGUUCUGCUCCUGCGUCACUGCAUGGAGAAUAAGGACAGCUGAGUUGUUCCUGGCUUGGACUAACACACUAAUGCAAAUGCACCACAGGCUGUACGUGAGCAACUCUUCUGAGUUGCCAGAAGAGCUUUUGGUUUUGCCAUGUAUGCAGCUAUGACUCAGUUGAAAGAGUUUUGUUUUUUGUGUCCUACUUUUAUAUUUUUAAUACCCAUCCUCACAGACAAGAAGGCUGUAUUUAUUUGACUCUCAGAGGUGAUCAAGACUGAAAAGGAAAGCACAUGCUGUUUUAAUUCUUUCUCCCCUUUUAAAGCCUGAAAAUGUUUGUGUAUAAUCAAUGGAUAUCAAGAUGUUACAAUCACAAUAUAAUCAAGAGAGUUAGACUAAGUGGACAAUGAUAACAAAGGAGAAUAAAAUAGAAGGCUUACCCUUUGGAUGGGCUCACCACAAAACACCAAUAGAGGCAA